AACAAAUAAAACAUAAGUUGAAAUCUGAUAAAAUGGUCUAUCACACCAACCAAUCUUAUCUUUUGGGUGUUCUAUGCCUUGUCUUGAUGGUUAGCUCAGGAUUGGUUACCAGUAUUUUGGUUCUUCCCGAAGGAGUAUGUAUAGGGCCUUGCGUUGCAACGUGCGACCAGGAUUGUCGCGGUAAAGGAUUUGGAAAAGGUGGACAAUGUUAUACUCAUCUUGAGAAGACAACCUGUUGUUGUUUUCACUAAUGAAUUCUGUUGUAUGAGGGCAUUACAAAUAAUAAAACGUGCACUUGAACUUAGUUUUGGAACUUAGUCUUUGUAAGAAAUUUGUGUAAACCUUUAAAUUUUAAUAAACAUUAUUAUUAAUAAGUGCAAUUUUAAAUGAAA